GAGGAGGGGGAUCAUCUUUGUGAUGAGUGCACCACUGAAUCACCUGAAGGGAAACAACACAUACUUCUCAUGUUAACCAAGGAACAAUUUCCUGCCAACUUCUCUGCACAAUUUCCACAUCAGCCUCCAGUGGGUUCUGCAUGAAGAUGCUACACAGUGAUUACAACACAUCCCCCAACAUCUCCACCAUAAUCUCUCCAAGGAAAUAAGCCCCUACUCUCAGAUGGGAGAGAGAGAGAGACAGAGCCAGAGUGACCAGGACGGGAAUGCAGUGCUGCACAAUGCUGACCUAUAUUACACCCACAAACACGGCCUCCACGUGCCCAUACUACCAUGUGGCAGGAGGCAUUUCAAUGACUGGGCUGCAGAUGACAGAUUGACCGGGGCAUCUGACUUAAAGCUAAACGCCUGUGUUAAAGUGGAACAGGAAAAUAUUUUUGUCCUCUUUUCCUCCUGAUUACUUUGAGUGAGACAAGGUGAAAUUUUUUUGCAUUACUAAGUUGGCUGGGUCGCCACGUCUUUGAUCCUCCUUACUAAACAUCUUUUAGUUAACAGUGUUAAAUUUAAAAAGUACAACUAGGCAUGCACAAUACUGGAUUUUUGCCGAUAUCAAAUAUACCAAUAGAUAACAACUCAUUUGGCCAAUAACCGAUGAUAUGUUGUUAUUGUGAACUGCUUCCUGGGAGAACAUACUAAGGAGACCCUUGAUUUAAAUAAAAGUAUAACUAGACGAUAUCCUUAAGUGCUAUUCCCUCUAUCCAUAAUUCACAAAGACAUCCACUACUAAUUUGCUCUGCCAGAGCAUAACACAAUAAAUGGCCUACAGCCUACUGAAACCUUACACUGAUCUGUCACUGACGCAUCAGAUAUCACCUCUGUCCUAAAUUGGCUCAGCUGAUUAUAACUUGGUUAAAUAUGCACUUUGUGUGAAGCCAGAGCACUGACGACUUGGUGUGUCAGCAGAUGCAAGUCAUACCGUCUCCCUGUAUGCUGCAUUGGAGUACUGACUCGAUUUCUUUGUUGUCGUCUGCUAAAGGUUGCAUCAGACACUGCAGAGAAAGUGGGCCAGUGUUUUAAUCUUUUUGUAUACUCUUGUUUGCCCUCUCAAGAGUCUUUUAAUCUUUAGUCAAAAUCUUGCAGUUGUAAAAGGACCUCAUUAUCUGCCGUUAUAGCUGGUUGUAGUAGUGGUUACAAAUUGUUUAUUCUAAACAAUUCCACUUCAGUCUGCAGUUGAAGUGACAUACCAAUUUAAAGGUAUACUUUGAUGGAAAAGCUGACUGUUAUCAUGCCGUGUACAUUUGCUUUUCUACGGCUUUGGGGAAAAAAAACUCAACCAGACGGAGAAUUUCCCCUUUAUUUUAGUUAUUUUCAAAAGGCAGACUUUUUAAACAUCCUUCCAUUUAAAAAGUGGUUUCAAGUCUUAAUUAUUGUGAUAAAACAUUUGUUCAAUCAAAACUAAACCUUGUUUUCAAUCUUUUCAGGGUCAUUCUG